AGCCACAUCAUGUUGAAACACUGGGUCCUGUAUGAUCAGUGAAGUUAAGCAACAUUGAGCCUAGUACCUACAUGAGUGACCACUUGGGAAUACCAGGUGCAGUAAG